rnacentral:rRNA from 1 species
ACGAACGCUGGCGGCGUGCCUAAUACAUGCAAGUAGAACGCUGAAGGAGGAGCUUGCUUCUCUGGAUGAAUUGCGAACGGGUGAGUAACGCGUAGGUAACCUGCCUGGUAGCGGGGGAUAACUAUUGGAAACGAUAGCUAAUACCGCAUAAGAGUAGAUGUUGCAUGACAUUUGCUUAAAAGGUGCAAUUGCAUCACUACCAGAUGGACCUGCGUUGUAUUAGCUAGUUGGUGGGGUAACGGCUCACCAAGGCGACGAUACAUAGCCGACCUGAGAGGGUGAUCGGCCACACUGGGACUGAGACACGGCCCAGACUCCUACGGGAGGCAGCAGUAGGGAAUCUUCGGCAAUGGACGGAAGUCUGACCGAGCAACGCCGCGUGAGUGAAGAAGGUUUUCGGAUCGUAAAGCUCUGUUGUAAGAGAAGAACGAGUGUGAGAGUGGAAAGUUCACACUGUGACGGUAUCUUACCAGAAAGGGACGGCUAACUACGUG